GCUCAGCUGAGAAAGCCCUGAGUCCUUACAAAAACAGGGAUUUGGGUUUGCUGGUUUCAAAGGCUUCUUCCAGAUGUAACUGGAUGGUGGUGCUGGUGCCGGUUCUGGUGGUGGUGCUGGUGGUGCUGAUGGUUCUGCUACUGGUGGUUCUGGUGGUGAUGCUGGUGAUACUGGGAUACACUGGGAGAGGUUUAACUGCAUCUACCCAGGGAGCCUUGGGAGAGACCUGAAUACUUCAAGGAUUUGGAGAAUUGGCUGAGAAGAGCAAGCAGGACCUGCAGCAAUGGGCGAACGUCCAGAAACCCUUUCUGACAAGGACAACGCCCACUGCAGAGGAAGGCUCCACCUCUGGUUUAGAGAAAGCCCCUUUAAUAGCGAGGGCUUCCUUAGGAAACUUAUAUAGUAAUCAUCCUCAGCGUGCCUGCACACACACACACACACACACAUAUACACACAUACACACACACACACACACACACACAUACACACACACACACACACUCACACACACAAACUGCUUCUCUCUGGUUCCCAGGCAAGAAGUGUUGUAGACUGUGUCUCUUUUCAGCCCUAGAAGGAAAAAGCAGCUUUUAGGUACUGAGGCCGACGAGAGCCGAGAACAAAUUCACUCUGAGCAUUUACGGUCUGUGUGACAUAAACUAGUCCCUCAAUCUCAGUCUCCUUUUCCUCACUUGUAAAAAAGGGAUGAUGAUAACAGCAAUGCCGACCUCCCAAAGGGGUAAGGACCAGAUAAUAACUGCUAGUAAGGGGCUCAGCACAGGGCCGGGCCCAGAAUACAUCCCAAAUGAAGGUUCCUUCCCUCCUGCCCACUCCCCUCACCCCAGGAUGUGACCAGCAUGGAUGCGGUGGAUUUAUUUUCAGAAAAAUGCUGGAGAGAGAAGUCUGUCCUGAUGUCCUCUGUCACCGGGAGAUUCCAGGAGCUCUCUGACAGUUUGCUCCAAUGGACGUGCAGAAAAUUGGCGAGGAGGGAAGAAGGAUGCAGACUGGCAAUAGCAGAAAAGGCUGGGGGAUCCUGGGAUGGCUUUUUUCCCAUCCAGUUAGCUUGGGCACGUUGGGCCUGUCUUUAACCUCUUACAAGCAAACUUUGACAGCCAGGGAAGAAGCUCCUCUCACCUUCUCUGUCCCUCACCCCGAUUGUUCCCUGCUUCUGCGGAGACCCCAGCCCAUCCUCCAGGUAGGAGUUAGUGUUCAGAUGCUUGUGGCCGCACUUGGAACAGUGAGGGCCAGCCAGAAACAGUCCCUGUCUGAGACAACCGAGGAACUGGGCCGUCCACCUCUCGAAUUGUGCGUCAGAGCCGGGCUGAAGCGGAGCUCCCAAGUUCUGUCUCUGCUGUACCAGGAGGAAAUGAAAUGAUUGUCUUCGGGGUCUCGGAGAAACUGCUCAGAUUCACCCAUGGUCGGAGAAGUCAGGAUAUCAUCGGUUUUCCAGAACUCAGGUCCAGCAAGCAGCCCGUGCCCCGACUUUGCCAUAACAACAAUCCUUUGCUCUCACCCUCUGGAUGAUCUCAGCCUCUGGUUAUGGCAGGGAUCAGACACUCGAAGGGGCCGUUCUCCAGUGGAGUCAAGGACACUGAGGUCUGAGUUAUUUUUGUUCAGAAAACAAAGAAAAAUAAAGUUUUGUGCUCCAAGAACAUCCGGAUGCUGAGGACAACGCCAGGGACCUCCAGUGCUUAUUAAAUAGUUAA